GCCCCGCCGUAAACUUAGAUAUUCCAGUACAACAAAUAUCCGCCAGGGGACUACGAGCGCCAGCUUAAAACCCAAAGGACUUGGCGGUGCUUCAGACCCCCCUAGAGGAGCCUGUUCUAGAACCGAUAACCCCCGUUCAACCUCACUACUCCUUGCUUUUCCCGCCUAUAUACCACCGUCGCCAGCUUACCCUGUGAAGGUACUACAGUAAGCAGAAUGAAUAAUACUCAAAACGUCAGGUCGAGGUGUAGCGUACGAAGUAGGAAGAAAUGGGCUACAUUAUCUGAUCCAGAUUAUUCACGGAAGAUUGUCUGAAACGACAAUCCGAAGGUGGAUUUAGCAGUAAAGGGGGAAUAGAGUGCCCCCUUGAAGCCGGCUCUGAAGCGCGCACACACCGCCCGUCACUCUCCCCAACAACCACCCACACCAAGGUAAAUAACACAACACCCGUCACAAGGGGAGGCAAGUCGUAACAUGGUAAGUGUACCGGAAGGUGCACUUGGAAUAAU
rnacentral:rRNA from 1 species